AGAGUUUGAUCAUGGCUCAGGAUUAACGCUAGCGGCAGGCCUAAUACAUGCAAGUCGAGGGGCAGCAGGUGUAGCAAUACAUGCUGGCGACCGGCGCACGGGUGCGUAACACGUAUGCAAUCUUUCCUUAACUGGUGAAUAGCUUUGAGAAAUCAGAAUUAAUACACCAUAACAUUGCGAAGCGGCAUCGCUUUGCAAUU
rnacentral:rRNA from 1 species